AGCACUUCUCAGCCUCUUGGCUAAGUUCAAGUGUAGUAUCUGUCCGAUACGUCCUCUGUCCGAGGACACUAUAUUAAAUGGACUUUUGGAGAUGGACUAGGAGCUUGCUUCAUCCACUCCAUGCACUGACCUGGUACUGCAGUACCUCCAGGAACGGUGCACCCCUC
rnacentral:snRNA from 1 species